ensembl:ncRNA lncRNA:CR46073 long non-coding RNA:CR46073
AUGCAAUGGCUCGAAUAAAAAUCAUUGUGCGAACACAAGCCAGCUAACCCCGAUGGCUCGGGGGAAAUCUCGGCAGAGCAAGCCUCAUGCCUCUAAAGCCCCCACAGAGAAAAAAAAAAGCCCCAACAGCCACCUCCAGUGCGAUCCAACUGUCUGCGCUCUGCAUGCAUUAAAUAUUCAUGCAGUAGUAUCACAUCAACCAAACACAAAAAAAGGUAUAGAAAAAACAGGAAAAGCCCCAGAGAAAAAGAGAGAUUUUCCCAAGUGCAGCAAGAUUAUUUUACCGCAUUAUCUCGCAGACAGUUUUUUUCGUUCGCUUGAUUUUUUUUGUAUAAUUCGUUGUUCUUGUAUAAUUUCAAGCACUUUGCUUGCAGACGAACAAAAAGAAUCUUAGUCGGAAGGCAAACUGCUGCCCAAAAAUGUUGCUGUUGCAAGAACGGCGCCGCUGUGAAAAAAAAAAGCGCGAGUGCCAGCGACAAAAAUUACGCGAUAAAAUGCCGCGAGGAUCCAACUGGAGUGGUGCUGUGAUGGAGGAGCAGCAAGAAGUGCCCGGCACGAAAAGUGCAUUGGGCUGUACGCCAAAUCUAAUGCGAUUCCUACGUUUUCACACAAAACAGCCAAAAGCAUACCAAAAACAAGGGAAAAUGAAGGGAGAGCGCAAGGCAAACAAAAUGGCGGCAAUGCGCGCGUGUUUCGCCAGCGGAAAGGGAAGCGGAACCGGGACCGGAAACGGAAGCGACUAGCGACAACGCGGAUUCUCCCGCUCCUUGAGCCGGCCGUAGAGCACCAGAUUAUGUAAAUCGAAUUAGCCGGACUGCAUAAAAAGAACCCAAUGCACACACUCGAACUCACCUUCCCGACCGCAAUUAGGCGACUCGUGUGUGAAGAAUAUGUUGACCAGCGCCUGCGAAUAGUCCGUCAUUGCCUUGCGAUGCGCUCCGCAAAUGUUUACCGACAUCUUCGUGGCGUUGUAGUCAAUCUGCAGGCGGAAAAGUGCAAUUUAGAGUGCUCAUUUGACGACCAUUCAUUCAGUGCGACUCACCUCAAUCUUGCCAUCCUUGGUGAACGGCGCACUCUUGAAGUUGAAACGACGACCCAGCUCGUCGUGCACCAGAUCGCAGGUGUCCGCACUGAAGGUGCACUCGUGCGGCGGACAGAAGACAUUGGUCUCCCACUCGAACCGAUAGGCACAGUCCUCAACCGAACGUAGCACGGGCUGUCCCUAAAAAAAAAAAAGGAAGAAGAGAAAGGAGGCGGAGCCAUUAGGUGCAUGCAGCAAUUUGCUACAGAAAUGGGUCCACUGGCCAUGAAAUAAUCGUAUAUAUGCUGCCACGCAGUCAGUUAAUGUCCACAGAAAGUCCUGCCAAAUGGCGAUUCCUUCUACAAAAAGUCCUGAAUGUGCAAUUUUCCGUAACGGAGUACACAAAU